rnacentral:lncRNA from 1 species
AAGUAACCUUUUGUCAAAGCCGGACGCUCGUACGGUGCAAACGCCUGAAAUGCAAUAGAAUCAGUCCCAAAAAGAUAAGAAAUAGGUAAAACAAAACAAUCGAAUUGAAUACCUUCAUCAUCUAAAUUAUAGAAUCUACACUAACACGAAGUUAUAAAACUAAAUCACCUCCUUAGAUACUAUACAAAGCCGUCCAUCCGCCAUCCCGUGUUCAACGAAAGUACGAGCAGCAUAACCAGCAGCAUUUCCGCCACCAACAAUCACAAACCUAAAAAGACAGAAUCCACAAGAUUAAUCAUCCACUCUCAAAAUCUAGAAGAAACAAAACGAAAAAAAAAAAAAAACGAACUCUCUAUUGUCGUUGGCGAAAUCCGAGGAGGCAGAAACGUAGCUUCUCCGGAAACCUCUGAAGGCAACAGAAGAAGGCUGUUGAUGAUGUAAGGAAAAGGAAGUAGAGUGCGGGCACCAGAGAGAGAGGCUGUGCUUCAGGGAGAGAGAGUUCGAUGCAGCCGCCAUGAUGAAUCUACGAGCUGCAAAAGCGAUCGGCGAUGAAAGAUGAAUGAUAAAAAAAAAAAUUGAAGAGGGAUUGAG